UAAUAAGAACGCCAGCCGGCGUUACGGGAGCCGCAGCAAGAGCGAACUAUCCAAAACUUCUGUUAGCUACGAAGGAAAUAACAGUUGCCAAGGCGAGCAGCUUUCAGUCUUGGAAAUUAAACUCAGGACAGAGGACAGCCUCUGGGAAGCUGUUGGCAUUUAGUCAGUUGAUUUAAAACUGACCCAUACUGCAAAAGCAUCUGAUCCUUUUCCUGUUUACCGGAACGGAUUCAUCUUCAGUCUUUACUUCCUUCCUUGGAUUUGACUAUUGUACUCUUAUGCCUGCUUUCAUCCUGAAUCUUCUAUUUUGUGAUACUCUGCACACCCAUAUUUAUUACGGACACGGAUCCUUCGUACUACUUCCGAUCACAACCCUUGUUAAGGUAUUAACCCCGGUCCUUCAACCUGCUAUUCAGAGUUAUCCAGUUUUCCUGUCUUAAGUCUGAACAAGCAAAGAGAGAGAAGAGAGGAGUUUGCUACUGGAGUUAAGCAGGAUGAAGAUACAAGUAAGAGUGUCACCUCUUGAAUAGCUGCUUAAAAUGUUGUGUCCUGAAACUGCUGGUUGCCCAUUGUAGAUGACUUAAUUAUUGCUUUCGGCUAAGUAAGGAGAGACUGUACAGUAGCUCAGUUCACUGACUAAGCAAAUAGGGACAGGAAGCAAACAGGGAUAGGAAAUUCAAAGGGGACCCCACAUCAAAUCUUUCAUUUAAAUGAAGAGAUUAUAGUUGCCUAACUUAAAAGCCUAAGGAGGGAACAAUAGUAAAUAUAUUUUAUGCUGAUGGUACCUUAAAGAUGUGUGGAGUAUUUGCAGAAAACAACAUGGCAAACAAUUAUUUGCAGCAAAUGCAUUUUAUUACAUUCCUUGAAGAAAAGAAAUCAAAGUAUGUGAGCAGUGAGUAGCCACACAUAGGUUGAAAAGAGAGGAACUGUGAAAAUAAUCCCCCAGUAUUUGUUCAGCUUGUACUAGGAGUAUAUAAAACAUCUGAAUUUGAAACUUUUGGAGUUUAAAAUGGUUUGUUUUUAAUAAUUUUGGAGGUGGUUCAAUCUCAAAACAAUGUGCAUUUGAAAUAGGUGCUUCAAGCUUGGAACACUUCCAGCAUGAGUGAAAGGGCCCAUUCCAUGCUCGAAUCUGUUCUUUUACAUUAAAUCAGGACAUUUUGAAGUUGAAAUUGAGUGUUUUGAAUUCAGUCUGACUCAAAUUCCAAAUGUUUAUGCAUAUUUAUUAGUUUGCUUGUACCUAUUUAUUCAGAGUUGAUAUUGAACUCUUCAGGGAAACUAACUCAAAAGAAAUUAAAUAAUGUGUAUUGCUCAGCCUUGAGCACAUCAGUAUGGUGUUGAUAACUGGGUUAAACUGCCAACUAUGUUGGUGGUAGCAAUACAGAGAGUGAAAUAUUGGCACAAUACUGCAGAUUUAAGCUUUAUGGCACAUUUCUAGAAAUGUGAGUGUUGGAAGCCUAGCCCCUCCCCCUUUUUUUUUGCUCCAUUUAUAACAUUGCUUCUUAAAAGAAAAAGAAAAAAAACAUUUGGGGCCAAAACAGAUACACAGCUUUGUUUUCUAUUCUUAACUUCAAUAAACAUUUUGAGUCAAAGCUUAUUUCACCUACUGUAUUCAUCGUUGAGACUCAAACCUGCCCCAAUCAAGCAAAAUUAAAAGAAAGCUUUAAUGCAAGAGUGUGUACUAAUCAGCCUUGACCACAUAUAGUAUUGACAUUGGGGCAACCAAACACAAAAUGUAACAUUGGCAUAAUACUUCAAUUAAAAAUUAAAGGAAAAAAGUUGGAAAACAAUUGGAAGACUUGUAACUAUUCCAAACAAAACAAUUCAAUGUACCUCAGAAAUGUGAAUAUAUUAGAGAUUGACAGAACUAGGCAGAAAGGCUGGAUUGCACAAUAGCAGUGCAGUUGUAGCAGACCUCAUUGUCAAGUGUCAUUCAGAGGUAAAAGCCAACAAAGAAAAUUGUAUCCAUACUGUAGGUAGUGUCAGGAUCUACGC